CCUACGGGAGGCAGCAGUGGGGAAUAUUGGACAAUGGGCGAAAGCCUGAUCCAGCCAUGCCGCGUGUGUGAAGAAGGCCUUCGGGUUGUAAAGCACUUUCAGUGGGGAAGAAAGCCUUGGGGCUAAUACCCUCGAGGAAGGACAUCACCCACAGAAGAAGCACCGGCUAACUCCGUGCCAGCGCCGCGGUAGUACGGAGGGUGCGAGCGUUAAUCGGAAUUACUGGGCGUAAAGCGCGCGUAGGCGGUCUGAUAAGCCGGUUGUGAAAGCCCCGGGCUCAACCUGGGAACGGCAUCCGGAACUGUCAGGCUAGAGUGCAGGAGAGGAAGGUAGAAUUCCCGGUGUAGCGGUGAAAUGCGUAGAGAUCGGGAGGAAUACCAGUGGCGAAGGCGGCCUUCUGGACUGACACUGACGCUGAGGUGCGAAAGCGUGGGUAGCAAACAGGAUUAGAUACCCUAGUAGUC
rnacentral:rRNA from 1 species